GACGAACGCUGGCGGCGUGCUUAACACAUGCAAGUCGAACGGAAAGGCCCUGCUUUUGUGGGGUGCUCGAGUGGCGAACGGGUGAGUAACACGUGAGUAACCUGCCCUUGACUUUGGGAUAACUUCAGGAAACUGGGGCUAAUACCGGAUAGGAGCUCCUGCUGCAUGGUGGGGGUUGGAAAGUUUCGGCGGUUGGGGAUGGUCUCGCGGCUUAUCAGCUGGUUGGUGGGGUAGUGGCUUACCACGGCUUUGACGGGUAGCCGGCCUGAGAGGGUGACCGGCCACAUUGGGACUGGGAUACGGCCCAGACUCCUACGGGAGGCAGCAGUGGGGAAUAUUGCACAAUGGGCGGAAGACUGAUGCAGCAACGCCGCGUGCGGGAUGACGGCCUUCGGGUUGUAAACCGCUUUCGCCUGUGACGAAGCGUGAGUGACGGUAAUGGGUAAAGAAGCACCGGCUAACUACGUG
rnacentral:rRNA from 1 species